CGGGACGGGUGAGUAAUGUCUGGGAAACUGCCUGAUGGAGGGGGAUAACUACUGGAACCGGUAGCUAAUACCGCAUAACGUCGCAAGACCAAAGAGGGGGACCUUAGGGCCUCUUGCCAUCGGAUGUGCCCAGAUGGGAUUAGCUAGUAGGUGGGGUAACGGCUCACCUAGGCGACGAUCCCUAGCUGGUCUGAGAGGAUGACCAGCCACACUGGAACUGAGACACGGUCCAG
rnacentral:rRNA from 1 species